rnacentral:rRNA from 1 species
UACGUAGGGGGCAAGCGUUGUCCGGAUUUAUUGGGCGUAAAGAGCGUGUAGGCGGCCAGGUAGGUCUGCUGUGAAAACUCGAGGCUUAACCUCGAGCUGUCGGCGGAAACCAUCUGGCUAGAGUCCGGAAGAGGAGAAUGGAAUUCCCGGUGUAGCGGUGAAAUGCGCAGAUAUCGGGAGGAACACCUAUGGCGAAGGCAGCUCGCUGGGAC